AGCGGCGGACGGGUGAGUAACGCGUGGGUAACCUGCCUCAUACAGGGGGAUAACAGUUGGAAACGGCUGCUAAUACCGCAUAAGCGCACAGUACCGCAUGGUACCGUGUGAAAAACUCCGGUGGUAUGAGAUGGACCCGCGUCUGAUUAGCUAGUUGGUGGGGUAACGGCCUACCAAGGCGACGAUCAGUAGCCGGCCUGAGAGGGUGAACGGCCACAUUGGGACUGAGACACGGCCCAA
rnacentral:rRNA from 1 species